rnacentral:rRNA from 1 species
AACGAACGCUGGCGGCGUGCCUAACACAUGCAAGUCGAACGAGAAAGGGGCUUCGGCUCCGAGUAAAGUGGCGCACGGGUGAGUAACACGUGGGUAACCUGCCUCUAAGAUUGGGAUAACUCGUCGAAAGAUGAGCUAAUACCGGAUAAGACCACAGUUCCCGCGGGAACAGGGGUCAAAGGUAGCCUCUGCUUGCAAGCUAUCACUUAGAGAUGGGCCUGCGCACCAUUAGCUAGUUGGUAGGGUAACGGCCUACCAAGGCAAAGAUGGUUAGCUGGUCUGAGAGGAUGAUCAGCCACACUGGAACUGAGACACGGUCCAGACUCCUACGGGAGGCAGCAGUGGGGAAUAUUGCGCAAUGGGCGAAAGCUUGACGCAGCAACGCCGCGUGAGUGAUGAAGGCCUUCGGGUCGUAAAGCUCUGUCGGGAGGAACGAAUGCUCCCAAGGUUAACAGCCUCGGGAGGUGACGGUACCUUCGAAGGAAGCACCGGCUAACUCUGUGCCAGCAGCCGCCGCCGUAA